rnacentral:rRNA from 1 species
AUUGAACGCUGGCGGCAGGCCUAACACAUGCAAGUCGAACGAGUGGCGGACGGGUGAGUAAUGUCUGGGAAACUGCCCGAUGGAGGGGGAUAACUCCUGGAAACGGUAGCUAAUACCGCAUACCAUCGGAUGUGCCCAGAUGGGAUUAGCUAGGAGGUGGGUUAACGGCUCACCUAGGCGACGAUCCCUAGCUGGUCUGAGAGGAUGACCAGCCAAACUGGAACUGAGACAGGGUCCACACUCCUACGGGGGGCAGCAGUGGGGAAUAUUGCACAAUGGGCGCAAGCCUGAUGCAGCAAUGCCGCGUGUAUGAAGAAGGCCUUCGGGUUGUAAAGUACUUUCAGUGAGGAGGCGUUACUCGCAGAAGAAGCACCGGCUAACUCCGUGCCAGCAGCCGCGGUAAUAC